UGAGCGUUCUGUAAGCCUGCGAAGGUGUCUUGUAAAGGAUGCUGGAGGUAUCUGAAGUGCGAAUGCUGACAUGAGUAGCGAUAAUGGGGGUGAAAAGCCUCCACGCCGUAAGCCCAAGGUUUCCUGUUCAACGUUCAUCGGAGCAGGGUGAGUCGGCCCCUAAGGCGAGGCAGAGAUGCGUAGCUGAUGGGAAGCAGGUUAAUAUUCCUGCACCGUCGUUAGAUGCGAUGGGGGGACGGAUCGCGGAAGGUUGUCCGGGUGUUGGAAGUCCCGGUAUCUGUAUCAGAGAAGGCUGUUAGGCAAAUCCGGCAGCGUAAUUCAAGGGUAUGGGUCGAGCGAACAUGUUCGCAAGCAAUCGGAAGUGGUUCCAAGAAAAGCCUCUAAGCUUCAGUCUAACGAGACCGUACCGCAAACCGACACAGGUGGGCGAGAUGAGUAUUCUAAGGCGCUUGAGAGAACUCGGGAGAAGGAACUCGGCAAAUUUGUACCGUAACUUCGGGAUAAGGUACGCCCCGGUAGUUUGACUGGCCUGCGCCAGAAGGACGAAAGGGCUGCAAUAAAAAGGUGGCUGCGACUGUUUAAUAAAAACACAGCACUAUGCAAACACGAAAGUGGACGUAUAUGGUGUGACUCCUGCCCGGUGCUGGAAGAUUAAAUGAUGGGGUGCAAGCUCUUGAUUGAAGUCCCAGUAAACGGCGGCCGUAACUAUAACGGUCCUAAGGUAGCGAAAUUCCUUGUCGGGUAAGUUCCGACCUGCACGAAUGGAGUAACGAUGGCCACACUUCUCCUCCCGAGACUCAGCGAAGUUGAAAUGUUUGUGAUGAUGCAAUCUACCCGCGGCUAGACGGAAAGACCCCAUGAACCUUUACUGUAGCUUUGCAUUGAAUUUUGAACCAAUCUGUGUAGGAUAGGUGGGAGGCUUUGAAGCGUGAACGCUAGUUUGCGUGGAGCCAACCUUGAAAUACCACCCUGGUUUGUUUGAGAUUCUAACCUUGGACCGUUAUCCGGUUUGGGGACAGUGCAUGGUAGGCAGUUUGACUGGGGCGGUCUCCUCCUAAAGUGUAACGGAGGAGUUCGAAGGUACGCUAGGUACGGUCGGACAUCGUGCUAAUAGUGCAAUGGCAUAAGCGUGCUUAACUGCGAGACUGACAAGUCGAGCAGGUACGAAAGUAGGACAUAGUGAUCCGGUGGUUCUGUAUGGAAGGGCCAUCGCUCAACGGAUAAAAGGUACUCUGGGGAUAACAGGCUGAUUCCUCCCAAGAGUUCAUAUCGACGGGGGAGUUUGGCACCUCGAUGUCGGCUCAUCACAUCCUGGGGCUGUAGCCGGUCCCAAGGGUAUGGCUGUUCGCCAUUUAAAGUGGUACGUGAGCUGGGUUUAAAACGUCGUGAGACAGUUUGGUCCCUAUCUGCCGUGGGCGUUGGAAAUUUGAAGGGGGCUGCUCCUAGUACGAGAGGACCGGAGUGGACGAACCUCUGGUGUACCGGUUGUCACGCCAGUGGCAUUGCCGGGUAGCUAAGUUCGGAAGAGAUAACCGCUGAAAGCAUCUAAGCGGGAAACUUGCCUUAAGAUGAGAUUUCCCGGGAACUAGAUUCCCCUAAAGGGUCGUUCGAGACCAGGACGUUGAUAGGUCAGGUGUGGAAGUCA
rnacentral:rRNA from 1 species